rnacentral:tRNA from 1 species
UUGCGAUUAGUGUAGUGGUCAGCACGACAGUCUGUGGUUCUGUUAGCACGAGUUCGAAACUCGUAUUGCAACC